rnacentral:rRNA from 1 species
AAAGGUCCCCCUCGCGGGGACUUAGGGAGGACGAGCGGAUUUCACCCUUAAAAGUGGCCGCUCCGCACUCCCGGGGCGUCUCGUUCUCAUCGCGAGAAGAGGCGCACCAAGAGCGUACACGCUGGGACCCGAAAGAUGGUGAACUAUGCCUGGUCAGGACGAAGUCAGGGGAAACCCUGAUGGAGGUCCGUAGCGAUUCUGACGUGCAAAUCGAUCGUCGGAACUGGGUAUAGGGGCGAAAGACUAAUCGAACCAUCUAGUAGCUGGUUCCCUCCGAAGUUUCCCUCAGGAUAGCUGGCGCUCGUCGCGCACGAGUCUCAUCCGGUAAAGCGAAUGAUUAGAGGCAUUGGGGUCGAAACGACCUCAACCUAUUCUCAAACUUUAAAUGGGUGAGAUCUCCGGCUUGCUCGAACUUUUUUUGAAGCCGCGAGACACGGAUCARAGUGCCAAGUGGGCCAUUUUUGGUAAGCARAACUGGCGCUGUGGGAUGAACCAAACGUCGAGUUAAAGCGCCUAAAUCGACGCUUAUGGGAUACCAUGAAAGGCGUUGGUAACUUAAGACAGCAGGACGGUGGCCAUGGAAGUCGGAAUCCGCUAAGGAGUG